rnacentral:rRNA from 1 species
AUUGAACGCUGCGGCAUGCCUUACACAUGCAAGUCGAACGGUAACAGGUCUUCGGAUGCUGACGAGUGGCGAACGGGUGAGUAAUACAUCGGAACGUGCCUAGUAGUGGGGGAUAACUACUCGAAAGAGUGGCUAAUACCGCAUGAGAUCUACGGAUGAAAGCAGGGGAUCGCAAGACCUUGUGCUACUAGAGCGGCCGAUGGCAGAUUAGGUAGUUGGUGGGAUAAAAGCUUACCAAGCCGACGAUCUGUAGCUGGUCUGAGAGGACGAUCAGCCACACUGGGACUGAGACACGGCCCAGACUCCUACGGGAGGCAGCAGUGGGGAAUUUUGGACAAUGGGCGCAAGCCUGAUCCAGCAAUGCCGCGUGCAGGAUGAAGGCCUUCGGGUUGUAAACUGCUUUUGUACGGAACGAAAAGCCCCGGGCUAAUACCCUGGGGUCAUGACGGUACCGUAAGAAUAAGCACCGGCUAACUACGUGCCAGCCGCCGCGGUAA